rnacentral:rRNA from 1 species
GCAAAAAGCGGGGUGCCAAAUACAUGCAAGUCGAGCGGACAGACGGGAGCUUGCUCCCUUAUGUUAGCGGCGGACGGGUGAGUAACACGUGGGUAACCUGCCUGUAAGACUGGGAUAACUCCGGGAAACCGGGGCUAAUACCGGAUAGUUCCUUGAACCGCAUGGUUCAAGGAUGAAAGACGGUUUCGGCUGUCACUUACAGAUGGACCCCCGGCGCAUUAGCUAGUUGGGGAGGUAACGGCUCACCAAGGCGACGAUGCGUAGCCGACCUGAGAGGGUGAUCGGCCACACUGGGACUGAGACACGGCCCAGACUCCUACGGGAGGCAGCAGUAGGGAAUCUUCCGCAAUGGACGAAAGUCUGACGGAGCAACGCCCCGUGAGUGAUGAAAGUUUUCGGAUCGUAAAGCUCUGUUGUUAGGGAAGAACAAGUGCAAGAGUAACUGCUUGCACCUUUACGGUACCUAACCAGAAAGCCACGGCUAACUACGUGCCAGCAGCCGCGGUAAUACGUAGGUGGCAAGCGUUGUCCGGAAUUAUUGGGCGUAAAAGGCUCGCAGGCGGUUUCUUAAAUCUGAUGUGAAAACCCCCCGCUCAACCGGGGAGGGUCAUUGGAAACUGGGAAACUUUAGUGCAGAAAAAGAGAGUGGAAUUCCACGUGUAGCGGUGAAAUGCGUAGAGAUGUGGAGGAACACCACUGGCGAAAGCGACUCUCUGGUCUGUAACUGACGCUGAGGAGCGAAAACGUGGGGAGCGAACAGGAUUAUAUACCCUCGUUAGUCCAAAAAA